GACUCAGGUUAGGCAAUUGCUACUUGCAUCGAUGUAUCGUGAGUAGAGGAAAGUCCGAACUCCGAAGAACAGGGUGCCGGAUAACGUCCGGGGACUGUUUGAGCAAUCUAGCAGUUACGGAAAGUGCCACAGAAAAAAUACCGUCCCAUAUUUCGGGAUAAGGGUGAAAAGGCAGGGUAAGAGCCUACCGCUUUGGUAGUAAUACCAAAGGUCUCGUAAGAGAGUUCCGACUUGUCGGAAUCAGGGUAAACCCCACUCGGAGCAAGGCUACGCAGAAAGGUAAUCUGGUUUUCCAGGUUGAGAGCUGUUCGUUUUUAAAUCCUUUCGGGUAAGCCGCUAGAGCUUGGCAGCAAUGUCAAGUCGAGAUAAAUAAUUGCCGUUCCGAUUUAUCGGGAUAACAGAAUUCGGCUUAUUAACCUGGGUUGAUA
rnacentral:RNase_P_RNA from 1 species